AAGUCGUAACAAGGUUUCCGUAGGUGAACCUGCGGAAGGAUCAUUACAAAUAAAGUUGGUAGGAAGUGGGGUCUUGAUCUGUAAGUCGUAGAACGAACAGUCCGGCUGCCUCCCGAAAUGUCUUACAUGUCCCCCACAGCCUGAACGGCCGAAUUACAAUCCCUUCGAUUAUCUACACUUGUUGCUUUGGGGUUGCUGCAAGUGCCCCAGAGGACCCCAACUCUCUUGCAUUUAAGUGACGUCUGAGUACUAUAUAAUAUUUAAAAA
rnacentral:misc_RNA from 1 species